rnacentral:rRNA from 1 species
CCUACGGGUGGCAGCAGUGAGGAAUAUUGGUCAAUGGACGGAAGUCUGAACCAGCCAUGCCGCGUGCAGGAUGACUGCUCUAUGAGUUGUAAACUGCUUUUGUACGAGAAUCAUAGUUCUUACGUGUACUGCUUUGAAUGUAUCGUACGAAUAAGGAUCGGCUAACUCCGUGCCAGCAGCCGCGGUAAUACGGAGGAUUCGAGCGUUAUCCGGAUUUAUUGGGUUUAAAGGGUGCGUAGGCUGGUAGAUAAGUUAGAGGUGCAAUCCCGGGGCUCAACUCCGGAACUGCCUUUGAUACUGUCGGGAUAGAGUUUAGUUGAGGUAGGCGGAAUGUAUGGUGUAGCGGUGAAAUGCAUAGAGAUCAUACAGAACACCGAUUGCGAAGGCAGCUUACCAAACUACGACUGACGUUGAGGCACGAAAGCGUGGGGAGCAAACAGGAUUAGAUACCCUAGUAGUC